rnacentral:lncRNA from 1 species
AAUUAAUUUUUAGCAUGAUUCACGCAUCAUGAAUACCAUGAGAUAUAUUAGGUUGUUUGCAUUAGAAUUCACGAAUAUGUUGCAUUGCAUAAUAUGUUGAUGAUAUGGAUGAAUGUUGAAUGAUCCUUUAGCCCUCCCAUGAUAUGAUAUGGUAUGAUAUGAUACGGUACGGAAGACCAGUGAGGCCCAUUCUACACCCCUAGCACCAUGUAAGAG